rnacentral:rRNA from 1 species
UACGGAGGGUGCCAGCGUUAUUCGGAAUCAUUGGGUGUAAAGCGCGUGUAGGCGGCUAAGUAAGUCAGACGUGAAAGCUCCGGGCUUAACCCGGAAAGCGCAUUUGAAACUGCUUGGCUUGAGUCCGGGAGAGGAAGGUGGAAUUCCCAGUGUAGAGGUGAAAUUCGUAGAUAUUGGGAGGAACACCGGUGGCGAAGGCGACCUUCUGGACCGAGACUGACGCUGAGACGCGAAAGCGUGGGGAGCAAAC